AUUGAACGCUAGCGGGAUGCCUUACACAUGCAAGUCGAACGGAGUGGCGAACGGGUGAGUAAUGUAUCGGAACGUGCCCAGUCGCGGGGGAUAACUACGCGAAAGCGUAGCUAAUACCGCAUACUAUUGGAGCGGCCGAUGUCGGAUUAGCUAGUUGGUGGGGUAAGGGCUCACCAGGGCGACGAUCCGUAGCGGGUUUGAGAGGACGACCAGCCACACGGGGACUUGGACACGGCCCAGACUCCUACGGGAGGCAGCAGGGGGGAAUGUUGGACAAUGGGGGAAACCCUGAUCCAGCCAUCCCGCGUGUGCGAUGAAGGCCUACGGGUUGUAAAGCACUUUUGGCAUGAAAGCGGUACCUGCAGAAUAAGCACCGGCUAACUACGUGCCAGCCGCCGCGGUAAUAC
rnacentral:rRNA from 1 species